rnacentral:rRNA from 1 species
AGUGAACGCUGGCGGUAGGCCUAACACAUGCAAGUCGAACGGCAGCACAGUAAGAGCUUGCUCUUACGGGUGGCGAGUGGCGGACGGGUGAGGAAUACAUCGGAAUCUACUUUUUCGUGGGGGAUAACGUAAGGAAACUUACGCUAAUACCGCAUACGACCUACGGGUGAAAGCAGGGGAUCUUCGGACCUUGCGCGGUUGAAUGAGCCGAUGUCGGAUUAGCUAGUUGGCGGGGUAAAGGCCCACCAAGGCGACGAUCCGUAGCUGGUCUGAGAGGAUGAUCAGCCACACUGGAACUGAGACACGGUCCAGACUCCUACGGGAGACAGCAGUGGGGAAUAUUGGACAAUGGGCGCAAGCCUGAUCCAGCCAUACCGCGUGGGUGAAGAAGGCCUUCGGGUUGUAAAGCCCUUUUGUUGGGAAAGAAAAGCAGCAGGUUAAUACCCCGCUGUUCUGACGGUACCCAAAGAACAAGCACCGGCGAACUUCGU